rnacentral:hammerhead_ribozyme from 1 species
AUCCAGCUGAUGUGUUCCAAAUAGGACGAAACGCUCGUCCUGGAU